UAGUUUUUUGAUAGAUCAUCUCCUUAAGGGAAGGAUUGUUUUAUUCUUUUUAUUUGUAUCCACAAUGCUGAGUACCAUGUCUGACCAUCAGUAGGGUUGUCGAAUGUCCUGUAUGCUGAGGAUUGCCCCUCAUGUCACUGUUUGCUUCCAUCAACUGUGAAAGGACUAUUGGAACUGACUUGUGUAUGAUGCCAUUUUUUUUUACCUCAUCCCCUUCAUUUAUUCCUUGUUCGUUACCAAAAACUUAAGCUGUGACUUCUGGCCUAGAAGAACCUGCUAAAAGCAUUGAUAUCCAGAAUGUCAAAGUACCUGGGGCAACCACUUCUUCAUUACUUUCCAGGUUCCACUCCUGAGCCCCUUUAUCCUAGAAGCUCACUCCACCCCUGGAAUUCUAACAACAGGAGGAUUGGCCACCCCUGUGACUUUUACUUUGAUUUGCUGAUUCCUCUCAGAAUCUCCAUUUUAAGGAAAGUGCCAGGCUCUGCUCCUAAUUUUCAGAACUUUCUCUGCCAUGUUGUCCCCGUAUGGCAUUCCCUUUCUUUUCCUCCCCAACACCCUGUCCUUUUUCAGCUUCUCUGUAUGUGUUGUUUCCCCCAUCAGAAUGUAAGCCCCUUGAGGACAAGGACUGUCCUUCUUUCUGCUGAUAUUUGUAUACCCAACUCUUAGACCUGUGUCUUCCAUGUAGUAAGCCUUAAUAAAUGCUUGUUGAUUCAA